GAUGAACGCUGGCGGCGUGCCUAAUACAUGCAAGUCGAGCGAACAGACGAGGAGCUUGCUCCUCUGACGUUAGCGGCGGACGGGUGAGUAACACGUGGAUAACCUACCUAUAAGACUGGGAUAACUUCGGGAAACCGGAGCUAAUACCGGAUAAUAUAUUGAACCGCAUGGUUCAAUAGUGAAAGACGGUUUUGCUGUCACUUAUAGAUGGAUCCGCGCCGCAUUAGCUAGUUGGUAAGGUAACGGCUUACCAAGGCAACGAUGCGUAGCCGACCUGAAAGGGUGAUUGGCCACACGGGAACUGAGACAGGUCCCAGACUCCUACGGGAGGCAGCAGUAGGGAAUCUUCCGCAAUGGGGGAAAGCCUGACGGAGCAACGCCGCGUGAGUGAUGAAGGUCUUCGGAUCGGAAAACGCUGUUAUUAGGGAAGAACAAAUGUGUAAGUAACUAUGCACGUCUUGACGGUACCUAAUCAGAAAGCCACGGCUAACUACGUG
rnacentral:rRNA from 1 species